rnacentral:rRNA from 1 species
UACAGAGGGUGCGAGCGUUAAUCGGAAUUACUGGGCGUAAAGCGCGCGUAGGCGGCUUUGCAAGUCGGGUGUGAAAUCCCCAGGCUUAACCUGGGAACUGCAUUCGAGACUGCAUUGCUAGAGUAUGGGAGAGGGAAGUGGAAUUUCCGGUGUAGCGGUGAAAUGCGUAGAUAUCGGAAGGGACAUCAGUGGCGAAAGCGACUUCCUGGACCAAUACUGACGCUCAUGUGCGAAAGCGUGGGGAGCAAACAGGG